rnacentral:rRNA from 1 species
AUGGUUAAGAAGAUAUUCAAUGUCCCAUCUGGUAGCAAAUCGAUAGAGUUCGGGAAGAGGGGCAAAGCUGAUUUCCGUGAAGUUUAUCUGCGCGGCGGGGAUAGGGCUCCGAUACCCAACGCAGUUUCUGUCUUAUCAAAAGCAGAUGAUGAUGACACCAUCGAGAGGUCAUGGGUAUUACUGUGCCUGGCUUUGGUCCUAGCUCCUGGGACAGGAAACAUGAUCCCCCUAGAUUAUCUUUACACCCUACGAGAUAUGAGCAUGGUCCAUGAGUUUGAGUGGGAUGAGCAUAUCCUGUGUGAUGUGAUGAGAGAAGUUAAAAAAUACCAGGAUAGGAGGAAUGAGGGUAGAGGGAAAUUUCUCAUCGGUGGAUGUCUAUCAAUGCUUCCGAUAAUUUAUAUGGACCAUCUUGAUGUGCCAAGAGGAUGCAUAGUUGAUCACACCAUCAACUACUCGCUUCCUAGAGCUUGUUUCGUUCAUGAAAUGGACUUUUAUGCUGUUGUUGCAGUGGACACCCUAGAUGAUGGGUUUGGGAAGCGUCCUUUCAGGACCAGUACACCGUACGCAGUAGUUGAGUUCAUGUCAUAUGUAGAUCAACAUCACCAAGGAGCUACUAGUGAACAUGUCACAGAGGAAUUGCCGGAAAUCAGCGACCAAGUUGCCCCCACAGACGCAAGUCAUAUUUAA